UGAGGAAUAUUGGUCAAUGGGGGCAACCCUGAACCAGCCAAGUCGCGUGAAGGAUGAAGGUCUUAUGGAUUGUAAACUUCUUUUAUACAGGAAUAAAUUGGGGGACGUGUCCCCUUUUGCAUGUACUGUAUGAAUAAGGAUCGGCUAACUCCGUGCCAGCAGCCGCGGUAAUACGGAGGAUCCGAGCGUUAUCCGGAUUUAUUGGGUUUAAAGGGUGCGCAGGCGGGAUGUUAAGUCGGCGGUGAAAUUUUGCAGCUCAACUGUAAAAGUGCCUUCGAUACUGGCUUCCUUGAGUGUGGAUGAAGUAGGCGGAAUUUGUGGUGUAGCGGUGAAAUGCUUAGAUAUCACGAGGAACUCCGAUUGCGCAUGCAGCUUACGAAGCCACAACUGACGCUCAUGCACGAAGGCGUGGGGAUCAAACA
rnacentral:rRNA from 1 species